UUUGUUAGAAAACCCUAGUCUCCACCCUCUUCUUCUUCAUUCCCUCCAAUCUACAUACACUUCUCACACCUACUCUCUCGUUCGCACCUCACGCACACACACUCAAUCACAUACACGCGCCUGAACUAACAAGAGAAGAAGCUUGCACUUCAAAAUUUAAGAUCUAGAAAAUUUCAAAAGAAGAGAGAAAAAAUCAAAAUAAAUAAAUAAAUUAAAAGGCUAUUGAAAUUUCUGCAACAUGGCUUGAUCGUUUCUGGGUUUCGAAGGUUGUUUGAGUUGUAAAUGUGUUGUUCGUUUGCUGAUUCUGUUGCUCUUCUCUGCUGAAGCCCAUUCCGACUAAUUUCUGGCCUUUAUUUGGUACUUCGUACUGUUCCCUUACUUCCAAUAAGUCAGAUUUAAUCAUAGGAAAGAAAGAUUGCUCAUGCUAGGCGUAAAGGAAGAAGUUCAAAAGAUUCAGGUUGCUAAAAUUCUCAAGCGACAAGUCCAGAUCCUGGUGCUGCAGCUUUUGGACCACAGUGAGAUUACUG